rnacentral:rRNA from 1 species
UGGGGAAUAUUGCGCAAUGGGCGAAAGCCUGACGCAGCGACGCCGCGUGAGGGAUGAAGGUUUUCGGAUCGUAAACCUCUGUCAGAAGGGAAGAAACCGCACUGUGCUAAUCAGCAGUGCCUUGACGGUACCUUCAAAGGAAGCACCGGCUAACUCCGUGCCAGCAGCCGCGGUAAUACGGAGGGUGCAAGCGUUAAUCGGAAUUACUGGGCGUAAAGCGCACGUAGGCUGCUUUGUAAGUCAGGGGUGAAAUCCCACGGCUCAACCGUGGAACUGCCGUUGAUACUGCUUAGCUUGAAUCCGGGAGAGGGUGGCGGAAUUCCAGGUGUAGGAGUGAAAUCCGUAGAUAUCUGGAGGAACAUCAGUGGCGAAGGCUGCCACCUUGACCGGUAUUGACGCUGAGGUGCGAAAGCGUGGGGAGCAAACAGG